GCUGUGCAAUCUGAUAUUAUGAGCCCUGCUGCAGAGAGAGAGCAGGAAACUGAAGGAGAGUGCUGGAAAUAGUACUCAAGAAAGACAACCACGGGAGAAAGACAGAAGUGAACUGAUUUCAUGCUACCGACAGCAGGAGCUUUUUGUUUUCUCCUUAUUCAUCGUUGUGGUGGAAUAGUUAAAGGCUGGCAGAGAAAUCUACAACACUGGCUGUGUCAAUGUGGAGUAAAAAUGUAAAAUGGUGGGGACCAGUUUAAACAGACCCCUAGAGGAGGUGGCUCAGUCUUUCCCCAAAAGAAAGGAGGGAUGCAGAGACAAGCGCUGCCCAAGUACUGGGGCUUUCGAGAGGGCUGAAAGGGCUGUGUGGAGAAAAAGGUUGUUGCACCCUGCAGGAACAGAUGUGGACAGAACCAGGUUAACUCUGUCAUGGAAGUACAUCUUCCCCCAUGGCUCCCAUGAUGAACUCCACAUGAACUUCACCCGGUUGAACUCGACUGUAUCUGUGGAACCUAAGCAGAUCAGGCCAUGUGAUUGGAUGAGGCCGGCGCUGCAUAUUUGGAAGAUUACUGAAGCCAGGUCUGGGUUGCUAUGGCUGACCCCGAGGAGUCAGAAAAACGUAAUCGCUCACAAGGCUUUUUAAUUAUCUCAUCAUAUCUGAUGAGUGUCCCUGCCAGGGAUGAGCGGCCCCGAAAACAGAGGCAACAGCUGGACUUAUUUGUUGUUUUUAGUUUAUUUAUUUACUACUUUUUGUGUAUAAUUCUCCUUUUUGAGGAAUGUGAUUAUGUCUGAUAUUGUGAUCUGGUUGAAUUACUGAGUUUAUGUUUUCCUGCAUUACAGUUAUAAUAAUAUUAUUAGAUAUUAAUACAACUUUAUUAUUAUUAUUACUUAUUUAUAUGUUAUGUAUAUAAUAAAUCAAAC
ensembl:lncRNA